rnacentral:misc_RNA from 1 species
AAAGCCAUCAUGGUUCAGACUAAUUCAGGAAACACCUGCUUCAGCUGCUCAUGAUAAUAUUCAACUGGGGUACAGACAUGUGCCUGCAAGGUUUUAGGAGGAAAAGGUAUAAUGCAAAACGGCAAAGUAAAAUGGUUCAACAACGAAAAAGGUUAUGGAUUCAUCGAAGUUGAAGGCGGAGAAGACGUAUUCGUCCAUUUUUCUGCUAUCCAGGGCGAUGGCUUCAAAUCGCUUGAAGAAGGACAGGAAGUUUCUUUUGAAAUCGUAGAAGGAAACCGCGGUCCACAGGCUGCAAACGUUGUAAAACUUUAAUAACUAAACGUAGACACGACUUUUCAGGCUGGCAGCUUGCCAGCCUUUUU